GAUGAACGCUGGCGGCGUGCCUAAUACAUGCAAGUCGAGCGAACGGACGAGAAGCUUGCUUCUCUGAUGUUAGCGGCGGACGGGUGAGUAACACGUGGAUAACCUACCUAUAAGACUGGGAUAACUUCGGGAAACCGGAGCUAAUACCGGAUAAUAUUUUGAACCGCAUGGUUCAAAAGUGAAAGACGGUCUUGCUGUCACUUAUAGAUGGAUCCGCGCUGCAUUAGCUAGUUGGUAAGGUAACGGCUUACCAAGGCAACGAUGCAUAGCCGACCUGAGAGGGGGAUCGGCCACACUGGAACUGAGACACGGUCCAGACGCCUACGGGAGGCAGCAGUAGGGAAUCUUCCGCAAUGGGCGAAAGCCUGACGGAGCAACGCCGCGUGAGUGAUGAAGGUCUUCGGAUCGUAAAACUCGGUUAUUAGGGAAGAACAGAUGUGUAAGUAACUGUGCACAUCUUGACGGUACCUAAUCAGAAAGCCACGGCUAACUACGUG
rnacentral:rRNA from 1 species